rnacentral:rRNA from 1 species
CAAGUCGAGUGCGCGGUUGUAGCAAUACAACUGGCGCACGGCGCACGGGUGCGUAACACGUGGGUAACCUGCCCUUUGGUGGGGAAUAACUCCGCGAAAGCGGAGCUAAUUCCGCAUAAGAUCCGCAAGGAUGAAAGCCGCAAGGCGCCGAAGGAGGGGCCCGCGCCCGAUUAGCUAGUUGGUAGGGUAACGGCCUACCAAGGCUUUGAUCGGUAGCUGGUCUGAGAGGAUGAUCAGCCACACUGGAACUGAGACACGGUCCAGACUCCUACGGGAGGCAGCAGUGGGGAAUCUUGCACAAUGGGCGAAAGCCUGAUGCAGCGACGCCGCGUGGGGGAUGAAGCAUUUCGGUGUGUAAACCCCUUUCGAUCCGGACGAAACCCCGCAAGGGAUUGACGGUACGGAUAUAAGAAGCCCCGGCUAACUACGUGCCAGCAGCCGCGGUAAGACGUAGGGGGCCAGCGUUGUUCGGAAUUACUGGGUGUAAAGGGUUCGUAGGCGGUGCGGCAAGUUGGGAGUGAAAUCUCUGGGCUUAACCCAGAGGCUGCUUCCAAAACUGCUGUGCUUGAGUGUGGGAGAGGCGCGUGGAAUUGCAGGUGUAGCGGUGAAAUGCGUAGAUAUCUGCAGGAACACCCGUGGCGAAAGCGGCGCGCUGGACCACUACUGACGCUGAGGAACGAAAGCUAGGGGAGCAAACAGGAUUAGAUACCCUGGUAGUCCUAGCCCUAAACGAUCAGGACUUGGGGUGCCACCCGUUCGGGUGUCGUCCCGGAGCUAACGCGUUAAGUCCUGCACCUGGGGAGUACGGUCGCA